GCCGCAGUCGUCUAGGGGUCAGGACACUAGUUUGUGGAGGAUAUUUUCUGCGCAAACCACUGGAAACCGAGGUUCGAGUCCUCGCUGCGGCA
rfam:Beauveria bassiana ARSEF 2860 unplaced genomic scaffold BBA_S00015, whole genome shotgun sequence.